ACCCUGAUAUAACCUCUAAUGAUCUCAAUCAUGAUUGUCACUUUUGAAGGAUACGAAGAUUCUCUCUCCACUUUCUCUCUCUACUUUCUCUCUCAUGAUCGACUUUCUCUCUCUAAAAAAGAUCUAUGAAUCUUGUAUCGAGUCAUACCUUCAUCUUUUAGAAGCUCAUAUUGACUCUAACAAGAUGAUCUGAAGUUGCUUUGAUAUCCAUGCUGUAUGUCAACUUCAUUUGGCUAUAUCAAGUGUUUUUCAAACCCAUUAUUAAAGAAC
rnacentral:lncRNA from 1 species